rnacentral:lncRNA from 1 species
GUUGUGGGCAAGGUCCUCUGCUCCUGGACUGUGUGGUCAGAGAGAAGAGGACAGGUUUCUGACAGACACUGCCUGUAAUCUCCAUCCUGUUACCACCAGACCUUUUGUGAUCAGAGGAUCCUCUGUACGGAGGGCUGUCAAAGCUUCUGCCAACUGAGCCAAUUAAAACGAUCCACAGCGACUCCUUCCUUUCCAAUGAGUGACAAAGGAGCAGGCAGAUGAAUUAGAAUUUCAGAAUUUUUUUAUAUCCCCUUAUUCCAUGAUGCAAAAUUGCAUCUUAUUGCAUGAUGUAAAAAUUGCACUUAUUCCAUGAUGUAAAAAAUCUGGUAGGGUAGAAUGUUAAAGAUACUCCUAGUCUUAGCAAGGCCCCUAGGUGAACAAGUGGUAUCAUGUACCGUUAAAUCCUAAAGAGAGGUGCUAAAACUUGCUAAAAGAUAUCUUCAAAACCGGUAGCCUGUCAUCCACCUUCAUCCCAUAUCCAAGAGAAGAAGAAAGUGACAGAGAGAUGGAUGAGAAUUGUUGGCCCAGUGGGGAGUGUGCCGAGUGCUCCCCUCAUCUCCCGUGUGACUCAAGCCAAGUGAUGGGGAUUAGAGAAAACCAUUGAUACAGAAGCGGGUAAAACCAUGAGGGGAAAUUGACAUCUCCAAUUGCCCUUCUCCUGCAGCUCGACUGAGAUGUGCAACAUACUGCUACCGGAGAGACCUUGAAAAAGUUCUUGGGGGCAGCUGGCAAUUGCAGAGUAUGGUGGACACCAAUAGGAGGGGGUCUGGCUUGAGUUGCCUUGAAAGGACUGGCCCAAGAACAUGAUCUAUAAGGACAAGAGAUUCUGUCAGCGUGCCUUUGGAGGAGGAGUGGGGAGGAACUGGAGACAAAGGGGAAAGACUGAGGAACAUGUGAGAAACUGAAGACACUGGAGAGCCCUUGAGGACCACUGGCCUGACAGUGACGACUAGAGGCAAACAGGUAGGGAGAGCAGCAGGAAUCCUGGGGAUGAUGUGGCCUGGAGGCUGGGGAGAGUCUGCUUCUGGGAGCAAGUAGAGAAGGGGG